rnacentral:rRNA from 1 species
UUGGUGACCAGCGGAGGGAUCAUUACCGAGUUUACAACUCCCAAACCCAAUGUGAACGUUACCAAACUGUUGCCUCGGCGGGAUCUCUGCCCCGGGUGCGUCGCAGCCCCGGACCAAGGCGCCCGCCGGAGGACCAACCAAAACUCUUUUUGUAUACCCCCUCGCGGGUUUUUUUUAUAAUCUGAGCCUUCUCGGCGCCUCUCGUAGGCGUUUCGAAAAUGAAUCAAAACUUUCAACAACGGAUCUCUUGGUUCUGGCAUCGAUGAAGAACGCAGCGAAAUGCGAUAAGUAAUGUGAAUUGCAGAAUUCAGUGAAUCAUCGAAUCUUUGAACGCACAUUGCGCCCGCCGGUAUUCUGGCGGGCAUGCCUGUCCGAGCGUCAUUUCAACCCUCGAACCCCUCCGGGGGGUCGGCGUUGGGGAUCGGCCCUCCCUUAGCGGGUGGCCGUCUCCGAAAUACAGUGGCGGUCUCGCCGCAGCCUCUCCUGCGCAGUAGUUUGCACACUCGCAUCGGGAGCGCGGCGCGUCCACAGCCGUUAAACACCCAACUUCUGAAAUGUUGACCUCGGAUCAGGUAGGAAUACCCGCUGAACUUAAGCAUAUCAA